rnacentral:rRNA from 1 species
GAUGAACGCUGGCGGCGUGCCUAAUACAUGCAAGUCGAGCGAACGGACGAGAAGCUUGCUUCUCUGAUGUUAGCGGCGGACGGGUGAGUAACACGUGGAUAACCUACCUAUAAGACUGGGAUAACUUCGGGAAACCGGAGUUAAUACCGGAUAAUAUUUUGAACCGCAUGGUUCAAAAGUGAAAGACGGUCUUGCUGUCACUUAUAGAUGGAUCCGCGCUGCAUUAGCUAGUUGGUAAGGUAACGGCUUACCAAGGCAACGAUGCAUAGCCGACCUGAGAGGGUGAUCGGCCACACUGGAACUGAGACACGGUCCAGACUCCUACGGGAGGCAGCAGUAGGGAAUCUUCCGCAAUGGGCGAAAGCCUGACGGAGCAACGCCGCGUGAGUGAUGAAGGUCUUCGGAUCGUAAAACUCUGUUAUUAGGGAAGAACAUAUGUGUAAGUAACUGUGCACAUCUUGACGGUACCUAAUCAGAAAGCCACGGCUAACUACGUGCCAGCAGCCGCGGUAAUACGUAGGUGGCAAGCGUUAUCCGGAAUUAUUGGGCGUAAAGCGCGCGUAGGCGGUUUUUUAAGUCUGAUGUGAAAGCCCACGGCUCAACCGUGGAGGGUCAUUGGAAACUGGAAAACUUGAGUGCAGAAGAGGAAAGUGGAAUUCCAUGUGUAGCGGUGAAAUGCGCAGAGAUAUGGAGGAACACCAGUGGCGAAGGCGACUUUCUGGUCUGUAACUGACGCUGAUGUGCGAAAGCGUGGGGAUCAAACAGGAUUAGAUACCCUGGUAGUCCACGCCGUAAACGAUGAGUGCUAAGUGUUAGGGGGUUUCCGCCCCUUAGUGCUGCAGCUAACGCAUUAAGCACUCCGCCUGGGGAGUACGACCGCAAGGUUGAAACUCAAAGGAAUUGACGGGGACCCGCACAAGCGGUGGAGCAUGUGGUUUAAUUCGAAGCAACGCGAAGAACCUUACCAAAUCUUGACAUCCUUUGACAACUCUAGAGAUAGAGCUUUCCCCUUCGGGGGACAAAGUGACAGGUGGUGCAUGGUUGUCGUCAGCUCGUGUCGUGAGAUGUUGGGUUAAGUCCCGCAACGAGCGCAACCCUUAAGCUUAGUUGCCAUCAUUAAGUUGGGCACUCUAAGUUGACUGCCGGUGACAAACCGGAGGAAGGUGGGGAUGACGUCAAAUCAUCAUGCCCCUUAUGAUUUGGGCUACACACGUGCUACAAUGGACAAUACAAAGGGCAGCGAAACCGCGAGGUCAAGCAAAUCCCAUAAAGUUGUUCUCAGUUCGGAUUGUAGUCUGCAACUCGACUACAUGAAGCUGGAAUCGCUAGUAAUCGUAGAUCAGCAUGCUACGGUGAAUACGUUCCCGGGUCU